rnacentral:sRNA from 1 species
AAGAGAAGUUAUGAAAGAUUUUGUAACA